GCCUCCCUAGCUCAGCUGGUAGAGCACUUCACUCGUAAUGAAGGGGUCAGCGGUUCGAGUCCGCUGGGAGGCU
rnacentral:tRNA from 1 species